CUGGUGUAUCGAUUGUGGCCACCUGCUGCAUUGUCGAGUAGCUACGUUCGGAAUGGAUAAGCGCUGAAAGCAUAUUAAGCGCGAAGCCAACUUCAAGAUUAGAUUUCCCUAUGAGGACACUGAAAGACUAUCAGUUUGAUAGGUGCAAGGUGGAAGCAUGGUAACAUGUGUAGCUGAAGCAUACUAACAGUCCCAUUGCCUUUUUAUG
rnacentral:rRNA from 1 species